AGUGAACGCUGGCGGCGUGCCUAACACAUGCAAGUCGAACGAUGAUGGAUGAGCUUGCUUAUCCCGAUUAGUGGCGCACGGGUGAGUAUACCAUAGAUAAUGUACCCCUUAGUUCGGGAUAGCCACUGGAAACGGUGAUUAAUACCGGAUACUCCUUCUUGCCAUAAGGUAAGUCGGGAAAGUUUUUUCGCUAAGGGAUCAGUCUAUGUCCUAUCAGGUAGUUGGUGAGGUGACGGCUCACCUAGCCUAUGACGGGUAUCUGGUUUGAGAGGAUGAUCAGACACACUGGAACUGAGACACGGUCCAGACCCCUACGGGAGGCAGCAGUGAGGAAUAUUGCACAAUGGAGGAAACUCUGAUGCAGCAACGCCGCGUGGAGGAUGACGCAUUUCGGUGUGUAAACUCCUUUUAAGAGGGAAGAUUAUGACGGUACCUCUUGAAUAAGCACCGGCUAACUCCGUGCCAGCCGCCGCUGUAA
rnacentral:rRNA from 1 species